AGAUUAAGUUAUUAAGGGCGCACGGUGGAUGCCUUGGCACUAGAAGCCGAUGAAGGACGUUACUAACGACGAUAUGCUUUGGGUAGCUG
rnacentral:rRNA from 1 species